GACGAACGCUGGCGGCGUGCUUAACACAUGCAAGUCGAACGGAAAGGCCCUGCUUUUGUGGGGUGCUCGAGUGGCGAACGGGUGAGUAACACGUGAGUAACCUGCCCUUGACUUUGGGAUAACUUCAGGAAACUGGGGCUAAUACCGGAUAGCAGCUCCUGCUGCAUGGUGGGGGUUGGAAAGUUUCGGCGGUUGGGGAUGGACUCGCGGCUUAUCAGCUUGUUGGUGGGGUAGUGGUUGACCAAGGCUUUGACGGGUAGCCGGCCUGAGAGGGUGACCGGCCACAUGGGGACUGAGAUACGGCCCAGACUCCUACGGGAGGCAGCAGUGGGGAAUAUUGCACAAUGGGCGGAAGCCUGAUGCAGCAACGCCGCGUGCGGGAUGACCGCCUGCGGGUUGUAAACCGCUUUCGCCUGUGACGAAGCGUGAGUGACGGUAAUGGGUAAAGAAGCACCGGCUAACUACGUG
rnacentral:rRNA from 1 species